rnacentral:lncRNA from 1 species
AGGAUUUUAUAAUUAAUGCAAUUUAAAUUUGAAAUAAAUUGUGUUAUUUAAAUUUGAGCAAUUAAAUUUAAAUGAAAAACAUAAAAUCAAAACUAAUAUUAUCAAGUAGGCUAUCAAGGAACCCCAAUGCAGCACUACCUACUCAAUAACACAAACACUAUCAAGUAGGCUAUCAAGUAGGCUAUCAAAGAACCCCCAAUGCGGAUGCUCUAAGGGCUGAAAAUCAUUUAUAUUUUAUACACUUAAGAGUGUUUUUAUUCUAGCCAAUAUAUAUAUACUCCAUUAUAAACCGGUUCAAAUAUUUAUCGCUCUAUUUUUGUUUUGUUUUUUAUAUUAGAGUUAAUUGUCUCUAAAUUCAUAAAUUUUGGUUGAUUUCCGUUUUUUCCCAGAAUCUUUGAAUGUUCGAUUUAAAACCAUCAACUAUCAAUUUUUCCCAAUUUUUCCAUGAAGCACAUUUCUGGCAAAAAUUGAACACACAUAAAGUCGAAAUUUGCCGACAUGGACACGUCAUAAAUUACUAAACAACGUGUCGUAUUUCUAAUAGAAACGACAUCGUUUCUAGUGCGUAUUUUCUAAUAGAAACGACAUCGUUUAACCCUCGAAUUUAUAAAUAUAAAGAUGAAACAAACUAAUUUGGCGUGGCUUAAUUUUAUUACAGCUAAAGUAGGUAAUCGACCUCCAAGUCCAGCGUAUAGAUGCGAGUCGGGGUGCUGUGGAAGUGGAGCUGAAAUUGAAUUGGAUUUUUGCCGUUGCUGCCGUUAAACUGCUCAAAAAUCCCCAUACAACUCAUUUAAUUAAUUCCUACCUUUUCUUGUUGUGCAAAUGAUGUUCACCAUCUUGUUUUAGGAAAUGUAAUAUCACUCAGAUAUGAAUUAAUUCUCAGUUCAUUUGAUAUUUCAUUGCUGGAACCUAUAGAAUAUGGUAUCGAAUGAAGAUCUUUCUUAUAUCCCAGAUUCAAUGCGUGAGCAAGAUGAGGCUCAUCAUGUUAUGGAUCAUUGCUUGGAAAGAUCCUAGAAGAUGUCGGUUGAGCAAUUACUAAGGUUAUGGGAAUAAGAAAGUUGCAAGCCCGAUUUAUAUGCAAGGUUGACGAUGCUCUCCUACUCUUCUGGCUAAUAAAGCAUUUCACCUCAUGUUGUGACAUAUAAUUUGAUAAUGCAAUUUAAGGUGAUAUGAUGAUAUGAAGCUCAAAACAUAUUAAAGGAGAUUGUGCCAAAACUUGAACAUUACAUAGUAGUAUAUAUUAUUAUUGGUUGGGUUUUUUUGAAGUUUGGAAAGGGAAUUGAAUCCAUUGUUGUUUUGAUUUGGGUAAUGAGUUAAUCGUUAUCCUUACUUGAGGGUGGUACGUAACCCAAUUUGUUACCCCUCAAAAUAGAGGAGAACCAAAAGAAAGGAAGUUAUUUACUAGUGAUUCUUUUCCAUUGUAAAAUGAAACACUCAAUAAAAGUAACAAUUA